rnacentral:rRNA from 1 species
AACAUGACUCAUUCUUAUAGGUGGUGAAUGUUAUAAGGUGUAGGGAAAAAAAUGAUAUUACCUCACUAAAAGUGUUGUCCAAAUCUGGUGCCAGAAGACUCGGUAAGGCCAGAAACGCAAACGUUAGUCAUCCUAAUCAGGCGUAAAGGGUAUGUAGGCAGCUUUAAAUUUUUUUAUUUUUAAUAAUAGCUCUCUUUUUAAUUAAAUAGUAAAAAUAAAAUAAAUUAAAGCUAGAAUCAAAUAGAGGAAAAACCAAAUAAUACUUAGAGUAGGGAUGAUAUCCAUAGAAACUAAGGGGAAUACUAAGGGCGAAAGCUUUUUUUCUACUAAUGAUUGACGCUGAGAAACGAAGGUCUCUUUUUUCUGGAGAAUAGGAAAUAGGAUUAGAUACCCAGAUACCUCUCACUGUCAACGAUGAAUGGUGGUUGCUAGUUUUAAUAAAAACUGGUGACGAUGUUAACACGAUAACCAUUCCGCCUUGCGAGUACGGUUGUUAGUGAGGUAAUAUCAAAAAAAUCCCUACACCUUAUCACAUUCACCACCUAUAACAAUGAGUCAAGUGAUUUCUCUUAGCUUGUUCACUCUUUCCAGCAUUGACAAAAAUUCUGGAAUCUA